GCGCAAUUUGAGAGUCAUUGAAUAAGGACUCAAAGAAUUAGAAUGUUAAUACCAGCAAGAAUCCUGAGAGACCUCAGCAACCAUCUUGCUUAUUUUACGAGGAAGGAAAUAAAGACCUGGAGAGAUUAAGUGAUUUGCCCAAGGCCACAAACCAAGAGGGGAAAAGUCUUCUGCUGAGGACCAGUCCAGUUCUUUUAUAAGGACAGGAAAAUCCCCAACCUAAUUCAAGUUCUCCAAAGCCCACAGUUUGAUUCAGGAAGCCAAGUGGUGAUGCCUUCAGUGAAACGGUUGCUCUCCAAACAGCACAGAAGGAAUCUGACAUCGGACAACGGUGGACUCUAUGGAUCUAAG
rnacentral:lncRNA from 1 species